rnacentral:lncRNA from 1 species
UAUUUCAACAUUCAGACGCAUUUAAAUACACUUAACCAUAGAGCUCCUAAAUGCCCUUUCCUCACCCACAGUCAUCAACAUACUUCCCAAGACAUUGCAUGACCAGUGGCAUAAACUCCAUACUGGGCCCCUCACUCAUGAUUUGGAGAGCGUCUGUCAUAUUUUUUCACUCUCUGUUUUUUCUCACUUCUGAUGUGGAUUAAAGUCUGUGCUCACAGCUCUCUCCAAUAGUUUGAGGAUAUUUGAUCCUUGAGUAUUUAUCCAUUAUUGGCUCUGUUUACCCAAGGGAAAAUUAAGUGCAGGGCCUUAGAACAGUGAGCGCUUUAAUACACGGAUGCAUAUGCUGAUCUCUGACAGAUGUUGGUCUUUGGGAACAACAGAAGGGUAGCUACGUCAUUCGCUUGGGAAGCUGCUUGUGCAAACUGAUCCUGCAGGUGCCCAGGCAGCGUGGCGAGAGCAGCCUGCAGUGCUGAGAAAAAUGUCUGGUGCAGUGACAACUCCCGAAAUAUUACGGUUUUUCACACACAUCCCCCAGCCAGCUGGCAGAGGAUUCUGAACAGUGCCUUGAGCCUCUUGGAAACAAAGUGUCAUCUUGGUGAACAUGCCACUUUUCUAUUGCCCUGAGUCAGUAUGUGUGAGGAGCAAGCCUGCGCCACUGUCCUGAAAGGAUGCUGAGACCCAGGCCGUCUUAUUCUCCUCAGAACGCCUCACUGUAGGCCUUGGAAAUGCAAUCCUUAUGGAGCAUAUGCUCGAUUACCUUCACAGAGGAUCAAGACUGUACUCCUAUUCCCAUAUUUCAAAUGAUAAUUUUUCUUGAUUAUGUGUGAAAUACGCUUAUCUGUGGAGGCCUGGAUCAGUUAUGACUGUGCCCACAGUUCACAUCUGCAGGAGGAAACUCUUUGUGCCAGGGCCGCAUGGUAUGAAAACAUCUGUAAAAAGUUGAUUGUACCCAUGGUGUUUCUUUAUUGUUUUUCAAGAACAGAAGAUUCUGGAGAAAUAAAAUCAGCUGAAGCAUUAUGGGUAGAAAAAGACCAAAGGAGAAUCGCAACAGAACUGGCAGAGACUGAAUAA